UGGGUCACGCAGUGGGUCUCAUUGCGGCUCUAUGGGUCCGUGUGGGGCGCAGUGGGUCUGAGCGCGGCUCUGCGUGUCCGCGUGGGGCGCUGUGGGUCGCGCAGUGGGUCGCUGUGGGGCGCAGUGGGGCGGCAGGGGCAGAGGAGGCGCCCCAUAGCGCGGCUGAGGCUGCUGCUGAAGGCGGCGUAGAUCCACGGGUUGGUGCAGCUGUUCAGGCUGGCCAGCAGCAUCAGGAUGGUGAACGCGGGGCCUGCGGGCACACACACUGCUGC
rnacentral:lncRNA from 1 species